rnacentral:rRNA from 1 species
AGGACGAACGCUGGCGGCGUGCUUAACACAUGCAAGUCAAGGGGGCCCAGCAAUGGGCAACCGGCGAACGGGUGCGUAACACGUGAGCAACCUACCGAAAUGUGGGGGAUAGCCGGCCUAACGGCCGAGUAAUACCGCAUACGCUCUCGAUGAGGCAUUUCAUUGAGAGGAAACCUACGGGACAUUUCGAGGGGCUCGCGGCCUAUCAGCUAGUUGGAGAGGUAACGGCUCACCAAGGCAACGACGGUAGCUGGUCUGAGAGGAUGGCCAGCCACAUUGGGACUGAGAUACGGCCCAGACUCCUACGGGAGCAGCAGUGGGGAAUCUUGCGCAAGUGG